UAUCCCUUUCCUUCUACAUCUGUCUGGCCUGCCACCUUUGCACUCACACAGUCACAAAUCUAGGGGGAAGGUAACUGGAGCUUUGCUUUCUCAGAGUCCUACCCCUAUUAAGUGCCUAAUCCAUGAAAAGUCCACCCAGCAUAAAGGCAUUAAAGACUCGAUCCUGCAAGAUUCUGAGCACACUGGCUUGAUCCAUCAAAGCACUUAAGCACAGAUGAGGAAACUGAGGCAGAGAGCGGACAGGUGGUUUGCCUAAUCUCCUAUCUCCUGUCAUGGAUUAUCAAGACAAGAUGUGAGGUUCACACUCAAAAACAAUAGUUUUAAUCCCCAGGAAGCAAUGGGUUUCAUCUACCAGUAGUAAACUGCUCAUUUAUAGGACAGUAAAAUGUUUGAUGCUAGGAAAGAUACAUUGUUAUAUUUACGUGUUGAUGAAUUUCUGUAGAUCUCCUAUGGUUUGGAAUCUUUCCUCCAUGGACAUCCGAUUGAGGAAAUUUCACCAGCCAUUGUAAUUCUGAACCCAUCACCUUUCCACUCAGUAGUUUACCUCCAAAACAGAGGGAUGCUAUUUCUCUGGCCAGUGAUACUAGUGGUUAAAUAUGGUCAUCCUCACCUUUAUCCAGGACAAACUGGAAUA